UAAAAAUAAAUAAAUAAAAUAUUGACUACCACAUCAGAAAUCCAACCGAGUUUCUCUUAAAUAUGACAAUAGUAACCCUAUUGAAAACCCAUUGAAGUGUGUGAUUUUUAUGUAAUAAAACGAUGACAUCAAAAUUUUAAUGAUAAGUCUAGUGAAAAUGGCUGAAUUAAGUACACGAAAUAUAAGGCCAGGUCGGUUCAAGUCAGGUUCCCUAAUUUACCUACCCACGAAACACUCUAACUUAGAAAGCACAAAGAUCUAAAUUGACGUGUCACUAAAACCAACUUGACCUUACCAAUUCAAUUCAUAGUUAGCUUUGGGUCUCGAGUUAGCUAUGCCUAGAGCCUCAUUGCACUGCUAGCAGAGAGUAACGGAUGCCUGCA
rnacentral:misc_RNA from 1 species